GAUGAACGCUGGCGGCGUGCUUAACACAUGCAAGUCGAACGGAGUGCCUUUGAAAGAGGAUUCGUCCAAUUGAUAAGGUUACUUAGUGGCGGACGGGUGAGUAACGCGUGAGGAACCUGCCUCGGAGUGGGGAAUAACAGUCAGAAAUGACUGCUAAUACCGCAUAAGCGCACGGGACCGCAUGGUUUUGUGUGGAAAACUCCGGUGGUGUGAGAUGGACCCGCGUUGGAUUAGCCAGUUGGCAGGGUAACGGCCUACCAAAGCGACGAUCCAUAGCCGGCCUGAGAGGGUGAACGGCCACAUUGGGACUGGAGACACGGCCCAG
rnacentral:rRNA from 1 species